GUCUCCCAGGAUGCGCCGGCGCGCUCGUCGGUAACUGGCUGAGGGAGUGACGAGCACGCGCUACCGGAGACAAGGAGGAGCUCCCCUGCGGGUGUUCUCACAGGGCGCAGAGUUUUACUGGUAUUAAAUAUGUGCAAGUUCUGGCCAUCUAUUUUCAGUCUGGCCUGUGAUCACAGAUUUGGUACUUCUGGAUGUGGGGAUUGGAUGGAUCAUGGCUGAUCGUGAAAGUUAAGAGUUUUUGAUUCCCAAUUCCAAGUUUGAUCUCCUGUUUUGCUAAAGCACAUUCUCCAAGAGGGGUUGCAAGGCAGUUCUACCAUAUUAAAGGUGAAACAAAUGUGAUUCUUGAAGUUUCAAGCAAAGAAAUAAUUAAAAAAACAGUAUCUUUUAAAUAGGGAUACUGGAAGAAUUUGGUCCUAAAAUACUAUUGUAAAUUCUGAAGAAACGACUGCUCACCUGUGUCAGCUAGCUAUAUGAAUUGUCACACAGGAUUAUAAGAAAAGUGAAUACCAACUCAGAUUCAAGGAUUCCCUAGAAAGACUUAAAAAAUUGCCGUGACUGGUGUAAGAAGAAAAUGUCAAAAGGUUAUAAAACACUGCGGAGAAAACAUUUUUAAUGAGUCUUCUGGUACCCCGAACUAAGAAAGAUCAGAAAUAAGGUUAUUAUAAUAAAACCAGAUAAUGAAACAAGUGUUUGAGACAUGUUUUCUAGUAUUAUUUCUACCUAUCUAUAUUGCAUAAUUAGUGGUAGGCAAGUUAGGUUGUAAACUGUGAGAAAAACAACACAUUUUUCCAAUCUGGCUCCUUGCUCUGCUGCAGGCAGCUGGGAAUGUUUUCCAGAAAUAGAAGAUGGCUGUAACAAACAAUAAAAUAUAGGCAGUGAGAGCCACAAUGAUCUCUUUAUCACAUCUGUCAUCACUGCACAUACUGAUGGAUUUAUCAGAAUGCUAUGUGAGUCUGAAGGCAAUGUGUCACAAUCUGUGGGUAUGCCUGGUCCCAAAGGAUUUAUUGCUUCAUUAGGAACCACAGGAAGAACUUAAAUUAAAUAAAAAAUUUAAAAUAAUGAAUUUAUAUUUCCUAAUAACCUGGAAUGAGAUUUCGACUGCAAUAAUAAACAUGUGCUUCAAUUACACAUAUUUUGUUCUGCCUUUAGCCAUUGCUCUUUUUAAAAAAUGUUACUUCUUAGUUUCUUCUAACUCAGAAACACAGAGGGUUGGCUUUUGCUGGUUAAAGUUUAAUGGUGUUGGAGGACUUCAAAACCAAAAUGAUAAAACUGGCUAGAGGUUCUUAUCAAGUCCGUCAGGAAAGAAAACCACUUGUUUACAUUGCUCAAGCGUGAGGUUUUAUCCUCUCAUAUGGAUUAAUUGUAUGACCUAUGAGUGUGUCAAAAAGGAUGCUAAAAAGGUCAGAAAAUCUGGGUUCCGUUCAGCUCUUACAAACUGUGUGACUUUAGAGAAUCAUCAUAUCUUACCUCAGGAUGUUGUGAGAUUAAAAUGCAUAUGGUAAAUCUUUUGUGAAGUGGAAAAUGAUAUUCCUUCAUCUAUGAGUGGACUAGAGUCAUUCAUUAGACUGGAGUCAGAGCACUGGAGCUCUAGAUUUAAUACUUUAUGUUCAAUAAGUUCUCCCAGUUCUGUGGGAUUACCUGAAUUUGGUUUUAGUGGUAUAAAACUGCUUUGUGAAAAAUCUGCUAGUAAUAUUUUUUAUUUCUGAAGAUCGUGCCUGUAUGAUCUUUAGUUAUUCAAUUAACCUUCUGAAAUAUUAGUGUACUCUAUAGAAACAUAAAGGAAUCAGAGUAGAUGAUUUUUAAUGUUCAAUCCAGUCCUCCACUGUUUUACCACAUUCACACUGCUCCUUCUUUGUAUUGAAAUCUGGGACAACAGGCACAGAAAAGACCUUAGGACUCAACAUUUCCUGUUUGCAUGUGGCUCAAUGGAACUGAGAUCAUCUCCAUCACUGGCUUUGUUGUCCAGUUUAUCUUCAUAUUACAGGUUCUGUUACGGAGUACUUUCUAUUUUGGUCGUCAGGAUUCUUGCUUGUUUUCGCCUGAGGCUUGCAGAGUUAUGAGUAAAUAUUUUAUCAGUUAAAUUCAUACCUAAACUAACCCUUUCUUUUUCUUUUUUUUCUCUGU